UACAGAGGGUGCGAGCGUUGUCCGGAAUCACUGGGCGUAAAGGGCGCGUAGGUGGCGACCCAAGUCAAUGGUGAAAGCUCGUCGCUCAACGACGAGUCGGCCACUGAUACUGGGUUGCUUGAGCACUGUAGAGGCUAAUGGAAUUCCGGGUGUAGCGGUGGAAUGCGUAGAGAUCCGGAGGAAUACCAGUGGCGCAAGCGGCGCUCUGGGUCGAGCCUGACACUGAGGCGCGAAAGCGUGGGGAGCAAACAGG
rnacentral:rRNA from 1 species